GCUCGGGUGGUGGAAUUGGCAGACACGCUACGUUGAGGUCGUAGUGCCCAUUUGGGCUUGCAGGUUCAAAUCCUGUCCCGAGCACCA
rnacentral:tRNA from 1 species